UCUCAUGGGACGGUUGUGAUACUUAAAUAAUAUAUAAACGAAUAAAACCAAUUAAAUUAUUUUGAACCCCUAC